rnacentral:rRNA from 1 species
UACGAAGGGAGCUAGCGUUGUUCGGAAUUACUGGGCGUAAAGCGCACGUAGGCGGAUUGCUAAGUCAGGGGUGAAAUCCCGGGGCUCAACCUCGGAACUGCCUUUGAUACUGACAAUCUCGAGUCCGAUAGAGGUGGGUGGAAUUCCUAGUGUAGAGGUGAAAUUCGUAGAUAUUAGCUAGAACACCAGUGGCGAAGGCGGCCAACUGGUCCGACACUGACGCUGAGGUGCGAAAGCGUGGGGAGCAAACAGG